rnacentral:rRNA from 1 species
UACGUAGGGGGCAAGCGUUGUCCGGAUUUAUUGGGCGUAAAGAGCGUGUAGGCGCCAGACAGGUCCGUUGUGAAAACUGGAGGCUCAACCUCCAGACGUCGAUGGAAACCGUCCGUCGCAGAGUCCGGAAGGGGGCGAGUGGAAUUCCUGGUGUAGCGGUGAAAUGCGCAGAUAUCAGGAGGAACACCAAUGGCGAAGGCAGCUCGCUGGAACGGUACUGACGCUGAGGCGCGAAAGCGUGGGGAGCAAACAGG